AACGAACGCUGGCGGCAGGCUUAACACAUGCAAGUCGAACGGGUGUAGCAAUACAUCAGUGGCAGACGGGUGAGUAACACGUGGGAACCUUCCUCGUUGUACGGGACAACUCAGGGAAACUUGAGCUAAUACCGUAUACGUCCGAGAGGAGAAAGAUUUAUCGCAAUGAGACGGGCCCGCGUCGGAUUAGCUAGUUGGUGGGGUAACGGCCGUACCAAGGCGGACGAUCCGUAGCUGANCUGAGAGGAUGAUCAGCCACACCUGGGACUGAGACACGGCCCACGACUCCUACGGGAGGCGAGCAGGUGGGGAAGUCUUGGACAAUGGGCGGCAAGCCUGAUCCAGCCAUGCCGCGUGAGUGAAGAAGG
rnacentral:rRNA from 1 species